rnacentral:rRNA from 1 species
UACAGAGGUCUCAAGCGUUGUUCGGAUUCAUUGGGCGUAAAGGGUGCGUAGGUGGCAUGGUAAGUCGGAUGUGAAAUCCCGGGGCUCAACCCCGGAACUGCAUUCGAUACUGCUGCGCUAGAGUACUGGAGAGGAGAUUGGAAUUUACGGUGUAGCAGUGAAAUGCGUAGAUAUCGUAAGGAAGACCAGUGGCGAAGGCGGAUCUCUGGGCCGAUACUGACGCUGAGGAGCGAAAGCGUGGGGAGCGAACAGG